AACGAACGCUGGCGGCAGGCUUAACACAUGCAAGUCGAGCGCGGUCCUUCGGGACUGAGCGGCGGACGGGUGAGUAACGCGUGGGAACGUGCCCUUUGGUUCGGAAUAGCCCUGGGAAACUGGGAGUAAUGCCGAAUAAGCUCUUCGGAGGAAAGAUUUAUCGCCAAAGGAUCGGCCCGCGUUGGAUUAGGUAGUUGGUGGGGUAAUGGCCUACCAAGCCGACGAUCCAUAGCUGGUUUGAGAGGAUGAUCAGCCACACUGGGACUGAGACACGGCCCAGACUCCUACGGGAGGCAGCAGUGGGGAAUCUUGGACAAUGGGGGCAACCCUGAUCCAGCCAUGCCGCGUGAGCGAUGAAGGCCCUAGGGUUGUAAAGCUCUUUCAGCGGGGAAGAUAAUGACGGUACCCGCAGAAGAAGCCCCGGCUAACUCCGUGCCAGCAGCCGCGGUAAAAC
rnacentral:rRNA from 1 species